GACGAACGCUGGCGGCGUGCUUAACACAUGCAAGUCGAACGAAGAGCGAUGGAAGCUUGCUUCUAUCAAUCUUAGUGGCGAACGGGUGAGUAACGCGUAAUCAACCUGCCCUUCAGAGGGGGACAACAGUUGGAAACGACUGCUAAUACCGCAUACGAUCUAAUCUCGGCAUCGAGGAUAGAUGAAAGGUGGCCUCUACAUGUAAGCUAUCACUGAAGGAGGGGAUUGCGUCUGAUUAGCUAGUUGGAGGGGUAACGGCCCACCAAGGCGAUGAUCAGUAGCCGGUCUGAGAGGAUGAACGGCCACAUUGGGACUGAGACACGGCCCAGACUCCUACGGGAGGCAGCAGUGGAGAAUCUUCCGCAAUGGACGAAAGUCUGACGGAGCAACGCCGCGUGAGUGAUGACGGCCUUCGGGUUGUAAAGCUCUGUUAAUCGGGACGAAAGGCCUUCUUGCGAAUAGUGAGAAGGAUUGACGGUACCGGAAUAGAAAGCCACGGCUAACUACGUG
rnacentral:rRNA from 1 species